rnacentral:rRNA from 1 species
UACAGAGGGUGCGAGCGUUGUCCGGAAUCACUGGGCGUAAAGGGCGCGUAGGUGGCGCUCCAAGUCCAUGGUGAAAGCUCGAUGCUCAACAUCGAGUCGGCCACGGAUACUGGAGGGCUGGAGCACUGUAGGGGCAGAUGGAAUUCCGGGUGUAGCGGUGGAAUGCGUAGAGAUCCGGAAGAACACCGGUGGCGAAGGCGGAUCUCUGGGCCUGUCCUGACGCUGAGGCGCGAAAGCUAGGGGAGCGAACAGG